rnacentral:rRNA from 1 species
UACGAAGGGGGCUAGCGUUGCUCGGAAUCACUGGGCGUAAAGGGUGCGUAGGCGGGUUCUAAGUCAGAGGUGAAAUCCUGGAGCUCAACUCCAGAACUGCCUUUGAUACUGGAAGUCUUGAGUAUGGGAGAGGUGAGUGGAACUGCGAGUGUAGAGGUGAAAUUCGUAGAUAUUCGCAAGAACACCAGUGGCGAAGGCGGCUCACUGGCCCCAUUACUGACGCUGAGGCUACGAAAGCGUGGGGAGCCAAACAGGG